rnacentral:tRNA from 1 species
AGGAGUAUAGUUUUAUUUUAUUAAAAUAUUUAGUUUGAAACUAAAAGAAGUAUUUUUUUUUUUGCUACUCUUG